rnacentral:rRNA from 1 species
AGAGUUUGAUCAUGGCUCAGGACGAACGCUGGCGGCGCGCUUAACACAUGCAAGUCGAACGGUGAACGGGGCUUCGGCCCCGGAAUCAGUGGCGAACGGGUGCGUAACACGUGGGCAACCUGCCCCAGACACUGGGAUAACUCCGGGAAACCGGGGCUAAUACCGGAUACUCCGCUUGGAUCGCAUGGUCCGAUCGGGAAAGCUUUUGCGGUCUGGGAUGGGCCCGCGGCCUAUCAGCUUGUUGGUGAGGUAACGGCUCACCAAGGCGACGACGGGUAGCUGGUCUGAGAGGACGACCAGCCACACUGGGACUGAGAUACGGCCCAGACUCCUACGGGAGGCAGCAGUGGGGAAUCUUGCGCAAUGGGCGAAAGCCUGACGCAGCGACGCCGCGUGGGGGAUGAAGGCCCUCGGGUUGUAAACCCCUUUCGGCAGGGACGAAGCGAUUGUGACGGUACCUGCAGAAGAAGCCUCGGCUAACUACGUGCCAGCAGCCGCGGUA